rnacentral:rRNA from 1 species
UACGGAAGGCAGCAGUGGGGAAUAUUGCACAAUGGGCGCAAGCCUGAUGCAGCCAUGCCGCGUGUAUGAAGAAGGCCUUCGGGUUGUAAAGUACUUUCAGUCGUGAGGAAGGUGUUAAGGUUAAUAACCUUAGCAAUUGACGUUAGCGACAGAAGAAGCACCGGCUAACUCCGUGCCAGCAGCCGCGGUAAUACGGAGGGUGCGAGCGUUAAUCGGAAUUACUGGGCGUAAAGGGCACGCAGGCGGUUAAUUAAGUUGGAUGUGAAAUCCCAGGGCUUAACCUGGGAAUGGCAUUCAAGACUGGUUAGCUAGAGUCUUGUAGAGGGGGUAGAAUUCCAUGUGUAGCGGUGAAAUGCGUAGAGAUGUGGAGGAAUACCGGUGGCGAAGGCGGCCCCUGGGACAAGACUGACGCUCAUGUGCGAAAGCGUGGGGAGCAAACAGGAUUAGGAUACC